rnacentral:rRNA from 1 species
GAGUGGACUCCUACGGGAGGCAGCAGUGAGGAAUAUUGGUCAAUGGGCGAGAGCCUGAACCAGCCAAGUCGCGUGAAGGAAGACAGUCCUAAGGAUUGUAAACUUCUUUUAUACGGGAAUAACGGGCGAUACGAGUAUUGCAUUGAAUGUACCGUAAGAAUAAGCAUCGGCUAACUCCGUGCCAGCAGCCGCGGUAAUACGGAGGAUGCGAGCGUUAUCCGGAUUUAUUGGGUUUAAAGGGUGCGUAGGUUGUUCGGUAAGUCAGCGGUGAAACCUGAACGCUCAACGUUCAGCCUGCCGUUGAAACUGCCGGGCUUGAGUUCAGUGGCGGCAGGCGGAAUUCGUGGUGUAGCGGUGAAAUGCAUAGAUAUCACGAGGAACUCCGAUUGCGAAGGCAGCUUGCCAUACUGCGACUGACACUGAAGCACGAAGGCGUGGGUAUCAAACAGGAUUAGAUACCCUUGUAGUCCUGAGU